GAGCAUUAUCUUGCACUUGAGUAAGUCUCCAUAACAUGCAUUUUACUCUUACGCGUUGAAAUCACAAUAAAUUAAAAUGUAGUAUUAGUUUUUAUGGUCCAUGUUAAAAUGUAUAAACAACUUGAGCUUGCCUAUGGAACAUCAAUUAAAUAAGGAGUACUAUAAUUUAUUCCUAAUUUCCUAUUAGGUGACUUGUUCACCUUUUCUGUUGGAUAUUUUGCGUUCUUAUGAUCUCCAACAUUUAUUUUUACUUUCUAAUUUUGUUUUUUAGCGUUUUGUCUUUCUACUCGAAGAAAGCUAUUCCACUUCUCCAAAUUUAACGGUGCGCUUCAUUUUGUUCUAUUUUUUAUUUGUGGUGUGAUAUUUUGUUUUCAUGUGUUUUGCGCUCUUCCAUUGUAUUUAAAACUUAAAAGUCAUUUCCCAAUGAUCGUUUAGUUAUAGUAAUCAUUUUGAAGUUUAGAGAAUGUGAUUCAUUGCUCUAGGAUUAGGACUUGGGUUAUUGCCUCUAGCCUUUAGGUUUUUUAAGGAUUUGUUACUUUGUGUUAUACGGAGAUAUUUUUGGUUUUCGGUUUUCGACAGGUGCCCUCACGGUUUGCUUGUCUUUGCUCACAUCAAAUUUGUUUGCUGGAACACUUUUCAUCCAUUAAUUGUACCUUCUGUAAAUCACUACCCUACUUUGUUCUCAAAAUAAUAUUUUUAUGCUCUAUUUUCUUUUCAUAUUUUAUUGUACCACUAACUAAAUUACUGAAUUCUCAUUUUGUGACUUUGGUCAUGUUUUUCAGAUAUCUUGUUAUGGUGAAAAGAAGAUGUGUGCUUUCAAAGAAGGUUACUGAUGAGCUUUCUUUGUUUUUUUUCUUUUUUCGGGGCUCUAUUUGUAUCGGUUGCACUACUUUACCUUUAGUUUAUUUGUUCCAUGUCUUUGCUUUAGAGUAUGGUGCAUGGUAAUUUUAAUUCUUCUAUAAUGCAUGUUGCGAGCUGUGUUCACACCGCCAUGUACUUCUCAAUUCUUUGUUCUUGUAUUUGUUUUGCUGGGAAUUUAAUAUUAAAUCUCUGUUCAAAUGUCUUACACGGCCAUGUGACAACUUCAAAACGUUUAGGUUUUAGCUUACCUUAUCCAUCUACAACUGUUAUGGCUAUGCCAAUAUUUUUGGUCGAGUGUUCACUACUGAGUCUAUAUUGUUGUGUCACUGUCUAGAUUUGCACAAUUCAAUUAUCGUUAUGUUAGAUUGUUUAGUAAGUGGUGUUCCUAUUAAUUUUUUAUUGACUGUGGUUUGUAAUUUUCAAAUAAGAAAUCAAUAAAAAGAANGACUUUGGUCACGUUUUUUAGAUAUCUUGUUGUGGCAAAAAGAAGAUGUGUGCUUUCAAAGAAGGUUACUGAUGAGCUUUCUUUGCUUUUUUCUUUUUUGGGGGCUCAUUCGUAUCGGUUGUCACUACUUACCUUAGUUUAUUUGUUCUAUGUUUUUGCUUUAAAGUAUGGUGCAUGGUAAUUUUAAUUCUUCUAUAAUGCAUGUUGUGAGCUGUGUUAUCACACUUGCCAUGUAUUUCUCAAUUCUUUGUUGGUUAUAUUUGUUUUGGUGUGAAUUUAAUAUUAAAUCUCUAUUCAUAUGUCGUACACGGCCAUGUGACAACUUCAAAACGUUUACGUUUUAGUUUACCUCAUCCAUCUGUUAUGGCUAUGCCAAAUAUUUUCGGCCGUGAGUGUUCACCUGCUCUGACUACUUGGCUGAGAAGCAUGAGAUGUUCAUAAUUAUAUUUGUUGUGUGUAUAGAUUUGCACAAUUCAAUUUAUCAUUAUGUGAAAUUGUUUAGUGAGUGGUGUUGCUAUUAAUAUUUUUAUUAACUGUGGUUUGUAAUUUUCAAAUAAGACAGUGAUAAAAAGAAAGAUGUGUGUUGUUGCUGUUGACACUGGUGGGUGUUCCAAUCUCAUAGAUGGGCUGCAUGAUCUAGGUUGCCGUUACAUGAAUGUGCUAGCACUUGUUGCGAAAUAUGGACUCUGAGGUAUUUUUCUCACAAUGACUUGUAAUCCAAAGUGAGUGGAAAUUCAAAGUUGAUCAUUACCUAUUGAAAACAGGCAUAGUAGAGUUGAUUAGCAUGCAAGAGUUUUCAAAGCAAAAAUUGAGUACUUGAAAAAGGAAAUUGUAAAGGCUCGUUGUUUUGGGUGGUUGCUGCUUAUUUUUAUGUGGUCAAAUUUCAGAAAAGAGGACAUCCACAUGUUCAUUGCAUUGGUUUCUGAGCAAAAUAAAGGUGAGUGUAAGGUGGAUAUUCUACAUGAAACAACGAUGUUAAUAGUUGAAUGACGUCAUCAACGAUAUAGGAUAGUAUGCAAAUACAUUAUUGUUUGUCAUCAUCAUCAUCAUCAUCAUCAUCAUUAUUAUUAUUAUUAUUAUUAUUACUUUUCAAACAAAAUAGUCCAACAAACACCAACACUCAAACCAAGGGGUGGUGUAACAAUCAAGCGAAGAAUAUUGGACUCAU
rnacentral:lncRNA from 1 species